AAUAGAUACCUAGGUAGUCCACGCCGUAAACGAUGAGUGCUAAGUGUUAGAGGGUUUCCGCCCUUUAGUGCUGCAGCAAACGCAUUAAGCACUCCGCCUGGGGAGUACGGUCGCAAGACUGAAACUCAAAGGAAUUGACGGGGGCCCGCACAAGCGGUGGAGCAUGUGGUUUAAUUCGAAGCAACGCGAAGAACCCUACCAGGUCUUGACAUCCUUAUGCCAUCUCUAGAGAUAGAGCUUUCCCUUCGGGGACAUAAGUGACAGGUGGUGCAUGGUUGUCGUCAGCUCGUGUCGUGAGAUGUUGGGUUAAGUCCCGCAACGAGCGCAACCCUUGAUCUUAGUUGCCAGCAUUCAGUUGGGCACUCUAAGGUGACUGCCGGUGACAAACCGGAGGAAGGUGGGGAUGACGUCAAAUCAUCAUGCCCCUUAUGACCUGGGCUACACACGUGCUACAAUGGAUGGUACAAAGGGCAGCGAAACCGCGAGGUUAAGCAAAUCCCAUAAAACCAUUCUCAGUUCGGAUUGCA
rnacentral:rRNA from 1 species